GCAUAUCAAUAAGCGGAGGAAAAGAAACUAACAAGGAUUCCCCUAGUAACGGCGAGUGAAGUGGGAAAAGCUCAACUUUGAAAUCUGGCACCUUCGGUGUCCGAGUUGUAGUCUCAAGAAGUGUUUUCUGUGCUGGUCCAUGUAUGAGUCUGUUGGAACACAGCGUCAUAGAGGGUGACAACCCCGUUCAUGACAUGGAUACCAGUGCUUUGUGAUACACUCUCGAAGAGUCGAGUUGUUUGGGAAUGCAGCUCAAAUUGGGUGGUAAAUUCCAUCUAAAGCUAAAUAUUGGCGAGAGACCGAUAGCAAACAAGUACCGUGAGGGAAAGAUGAAAAGCACUUUGGAAAGAGAGUUAACAGUACGUGAAAUUGUUGAAAGGGAAACGAUUGAAGUCAGACGUGCGUGAUGCGGUUCAGCACUGGUUCGCCAGUGUGUGUUCCGUAUCUUUGCAGGCCAACAUCAGUUUCGGUAGUCGGAUAAAGGUUAGUUGAAUGUGGCACCCUCGGGUGUGUUAUAGCUUCUAACUGAAUACGAUUUCUGGGACUGAGGAACGCAGCGCGCCGCAAGGCAAAGGUUCCGACCUUUUCGCGCUUAGGAUGUUGGUGAAAUGGCUUUAAACGACCCGUCUUGAAACACGGACC
rnacentral:rRNA from 1 species